rnacentral:rRNA from 1 species
AUUGAACGCUGGCGGCAUGCCUUACACAUGCAAGUCGAACGGUAACAGGUCUUCGGAUGCUGACGAGUGGCGAACGGGUGAGUAAUACAUCGGAACGUGCCCGAGAGUGGGGGAUAACGAGGCGAAAGCUUUGCUAAUACCGCAUACGAUCUCAGGAUGAAAGCAGGGGACCGCAAGGCCUUGCGCUCACGGAGCGGCCGAUGGCAGAUUAGGUAGUUGGUGGGAUAAAAGCUUACCAAGCCGACGAUCUGUAGCUGGUCUGAGAGGACGACCAGCCACAUUGGGACUGAGACACGGCCCAGACUCCUACGGGAGGCAGCAGUGGGGAAUGUUGGACAAUGGGCGCAAGCCUGAUCCAGCCAUGCCGCGUGCAGGAUGAAGGCCUUCGGGUUGUAAACUGCUUUUGUACGGAACGAAAAGACUCUGGUUAAUACCUGGGGUCCAUGACGGUACCGUAAGAAUAAGCACCGGCUAACUACGUGCCAGCCGCCGCGGUAAAAC